UGUGUGUAGCUCAAUGGUAGAGCACAUGCCAGUAUUCUUGAGGCCCUGGGUUCCAUCCCCCAUAUCACAA
rnacentral:tRNA from 1 species